GGAUUAGAUACCCUGGUAGUCCACGCCGUAAACGAUGUCUACUAGCCGUUGGGGUACUUGAGACCUUAGUGGCGCAGCUAACGCACUAAGUAGACCGCCUGGGGAGUACGGCCGCAAGGUUAAAACUCAAAUGAAUUGACGGGGGCCCGCACAAGCGGUGGAGCAUGUGGUUUAAUUCGAUGCAACGCGAAGAACCUUACCAGGUCUUGACAUCCUUGGAACUUGGCAGAGAUGCCUUGGUGCCUUCGGGAGCCAAGUGACAGGUGCUGCAUGGCUGUCGUCAGCUCGUGCUG
rnacentral:rRNA from 1 species